rnacentral:rRNA from 1 species
CCUUUUGAAUUUAAUUUAAGGUCUAAUCUGCCCACUGAGUAAUUAAAUGGCCGCGGUAUUUUGACCGUGCGAAGGUAGCAUAAUCAUUAGUUUUUUAAUUGAAAGCUGGAAUGAAAGAUUGGAUGAGAAAAUAGCUGUCUCAAAUUAAAUUUAUUAGAAUUUUAUUUUUAAGUUAAAAAGCUUAAAUGUUAUUAAAAGACGAGAAGACCCUAUAGAGUUUAAUAAUUAAUUUAAUUUUAAAUAAAUUGUUUAUAAAAAUUUAAUUUAAAUUGAUUAUUUUGUUGGGGUGACAAAAAAAUUAAAAAAACUUUUUUUUUAUUUAAAUACUUAUAUGUAAAUUAUUGAUCCAAAAUUUUUGAUUAUAAGAUUAAAUUACCUUAGGGAUAACAGCGUAAUUUUUUUUGAGAGUUCUUAUCGAAAAAGAAGAUUGCGACCUCGAUGUUGGAUUAAAAUUAAAUUUUGGUGUAGAAGCUAAAAAUUUAGGUCUGUUCGACCUUUAAAACUUU